CCCGCCUUAUUAAGAUGUAAUUGACAAAAACAGUAUAUAGAUUCACAUGAGAAGAAAAAACAAUUCACAAAACUAGCAUUGUUUUACUUCUGUCCUUACAGAGAUAUGUUUGACUGUUUGGUGAGACAUUA
ensembl:snoRNA SNORA75 Small nucleolar RNA SNORA75